rnacentral:lncRNA from 1 species
GCAAAAUUAGAGGGAAAAUCAUGAGUUUGAAAAAUUCAAUGAUUUUCAAAAUAAGUUCAUUAAAUUUUGAAGAAAUCAUCGUAUCUAAAAUUAAAAAAAUCAUUGAUUUUGAGAAAGGUCAUCAAUUAGACACCUUUUGGUCUUGGGCGAUCCGUGUAAUAAAAAUAAGAUGUAACUGGUUAGCUGGAAUAACCUCUUUUAAACAAGCUAUGCCAGACAGGUUACCAUUGAGGUUAUUUCUAUGAUAACCACACACAUUGCCUUUGAAACCUACCUACCUAGCACGAACAUGCAUCGAGAGAUCAAAAAGUUAUGCCAAAGCAUGAGCGAGUAGCUGGCUAUGUUCAUAAGGUUCUUUUCAGUAUCAUGUAUGUAUGUGAUGCAUGAUGCAUCACUUAAAAGAAAAAACCCAGUCGCUCUAUGCUAGCUUCUCAAAAUCCCCAUGGUUGGUAUGCAAUUUAUAGAACCUACAUUGUUGCCGCUGUUUUCAUCAACACAUGGUGGCUAAUAGUUUACGGAGGAGAAGUUAUUAUGAAGAUUCCUUAAUUGGCUUCAUAUCUUGUUUGGUUGCAGACAACUAUUGAGAGAAUUAAUGAAAGUCUAGAGAUUGUGAGAUAUGAAAUCGCUUGUUUGGAAGGAAGAGAUUUUUAG